AUUGAACGUUGGCGGCACGCCUUAUACAUGCAAGUCGAACGAGAAAGCACCUUCGGGUGCGAGUACAGUGGCGGACGGGUGAGUAACGCGUAGGAAUAUACCUAGUAGUGGGGGACAACUCGGGGAAACUCGAGCUAAUACCGCAUACGCUCUACGGAGGAAAGUGGGGGAUCUUCGGACCUCACGCUAUUAGAGUAGCCUGCGUUGGAUUAGCUAGUUGGUGGGGUAAAGGCUCACCAAGGCGACGAUCCAUAGCUGGUCUGAGAGGACGAUCAGCCACACUGGAACUGAGACACGGUCCAGACUCCUACGGGAGGCAGCAGUAGGGAAUCUUGGUCAAUGGGCGAAAGCCUGAACCAGCGAUGCCGCGUGUGUGAAGAAGGCCCUAGGGUUGUAAAGCACUUUCAGCAGUGAAGAAACCCCGGUGAUUAAUACUCGCCGGUCUUGACGUUAACUGCAGAAGAAGCACCGGCUAACUCCGUGCCAGCCGCCGCGGUAAUU
rnacentral:rRNA from 1 species